CACGCUGCUAGCCGUUUGGCUCCCGAGUAGUAUGGGACACGUGAAAUCCCGUAUGAAUUUGCGAGGACCACCUCGUAAGGCUAAAUACUCCUAAGUCACCGAUAGCGAAUAGUACCGCGAGGGAAAGGUGAAAAGAACCCCUUUACGGGGAGUGAAAUAGAACAUGAAACCGUAUGCUUACAAUUUGUGGGAGGAUGAACACAUCUGACCGCAUGCCUGUUGAAGAAUGAUCUGGCGACUUAGAAGAAGUGGCAGGUUAAGAUUUUCCAUCGAAGCCAAAGCGAAAGCAUGUCUGAUAAGGGCUCUCGUCCCUUCUUCUAGACCCGAACCCAGGUGAUCUAACCAUGACCAGAAUGAAGCUUUGGUGAUACGAAGUGGAGGUUCGAACCGACCGAUGUUGAAAAAUCGACGGAUGAGUUGUGGUUAGGGGUGAAAUGCCAAUCGAACUUGGAGCUAGCUGGUUCUCCUCGAAAUGCGUUGAGGCGCAGCGGUCGAUUAUGGGCUUCUAGGGGGUAAAGCGCUGUCUCGGUGCGGGCUGCGAAAGCGGUACCAAUCUGUUGCAAACUCGGAAUACCUAGAACGCUUUCAAUCGGCCAGUGAGACUGCGGGGGAUAAGCUCCGUAGUCAAGAGGGAAACAGCCCAGACCACCAGCUAAGGCUCCUAAAUAAAAGCUAAGUGGCAAAGGAGGUGAAAAUGCAGUGACAAUCAGGAGGUUUGCCUAGAAGCAGCCACCCUUUAAAGAGUGCGUAAUAGCUCACUGAUCAAGCGUUUUCGCGCCGAAAAUGACCGGAACUAAGUUUUUUGCCGAAGCUGUGGCUACAUCACAUAGAUGAUGUAGGGUAGAGGAGCGUUCCGUCCAGGGGGAAGCCAAGCGCGUAAGCCGCGGUCGACAGGACGGAAGUGAGAAUGUCAGAUUGAGUAACGUAAACAUUGGUGAGAAUCCAAUGCCCCGAAAACUCAAGGGUUCCUGCGCAAGGCUCGUCCGCGCAGGGUCAGUCAGGACCUAAGGUGAGGCCGAAAGGCGUAAUUGAUGGCAAGAAGGUUUAUAUUCCUUCACUAAUCUAGGCUUAGUCCUGAGGGACGAACAAAUAACACUCGGCACAACGGCCACACUUGGCAGUAUGGAUAAACCCGUUGCUGUUUGAUGCUAUUUAUUCCAAGAAAAGCUCAUUCGACUUUGAGUCUAGAUUACCUGUACCGUAAACCGACACAGGUGAGUGGGUUGAAUAAACUAAGGGGAGCGAGAUAACUCUCUCUAAGGAACUCGGCAAAUUGGCUCUGUACCUUCGGAAGAAAGAGUGCCCCUUCAUGGGGCCGCAGUGAAGAGAUCCAGGCGACUGUUUACCAAAAACACAGGUCUCCGCAAAGUCGUAAGACGAUGUAUGGGGGCUGACACCUGCCCAGUGCCAGAAGGUUAAAGAAGUUGGUCAAUCUUUGAUGAAGCUAACAACUGAAGCCCUGGUGAACGGCGGCAGUAACUAUAACUGUCCUAAGGUAGCGAAAUUCCUUGUCGGGUAAGUUCCGACCCGCACGAAAGGUGUAACGAUCUGGAUACUGUCUCAGAGAGAGACUCGGUGAAAUAAAACUAGCUGUGAAGAUGCGGCUUACCUGCACACGGACAGAAAGACCCUAUGAAGCUUUACUGUAACCUGGAAUUGCUUUCAAGCUUAUUUUGCGCAGCUUAGGUGGGAGACGUUGAACUUCUUUUUCCGGAAAGGAGGGAGUCAUCAGUGAGAUACCACUCUUGGUAAGCUAGAGCGCUCAUUUCUAACCGUUAUCCGGUAGAAAGACAGUUUCAGGCGGGCAGUUUGACUGGGGCAGUCACCUCCCAAAAGGUAAUGGAGGUGCACAAAGGUUCCCUCAGGUUGGACGGAAAUCAACCAUAGAGUGUAAAAGCAUAAGCGAGCUUGACUGCGAGACUGACAUGUCAAGCAGAGACGAAAGUCGGUUUUAGUGAUCCGACGGUGCUGAGUGGAAAGGCCGUCGCUCAACGGAUAAAAGUUACUCUAGGGAUAACAGGCUGAUCUCCCCCAAGAGUUCA
rnacentral:rRNA from 1 species